AUUGAACGCUGGCGGCAGGCCUAACACAUGCAAGUCGAACGGUAACAGGAAACAGCUUGCUGUUUCGCUGACGAGUGGCGGACGGGUGAGUAAUGUCUGGGAAACUGCCUGAUGGAGGGGGAUAACUACUGGAAACGGUAGCUAAUACCGCAUAACGUCGCAAGACCAAAGAGGGGGACCCUCGGGCCUCUUGCCAUCGGAUGUGCCCAGAUGGGAUUAGCUUGUUGGUGGGGUAACGGCUCACCAAGGCGACGAUCCCUAGCUGGUCUGAGAGGAUGACCAGCCACACUGGAACUGAGACACGGUCCAGACUCCUACGGGAGGCAGCAGUGGGGAAUAUUGCACAAUGGGCGCAAGCCUGAUGCAGCCAUGCCGCGUGUAUGAAGAAGGCCUUCGGGUUGUAAAGUACUUUCAGCGGGGAGGAAGGGAGUAAAGUUAAUACCUUUGCUCGUUGACGUUACCCGCAGAAGAAGCACCGGCUAACUCCGUG
rnacentral:rRNA from 1 species